GAUGAACGCUAGCUACAGGCUUAACACAUGCAAGUCGAGGGGCAGCAUGCUGGUAGCUUGCUAUCAGCGAUGGCGACCGGCGCACGGGUGCGUAACACGUAUCCAAUCUACCCAUGGCUCGGGGAUAGCCUUUCGAAAGAAAGAUUAAUACCCGAUGGUCUGUUUGCGAGACAUCUCGCGAGCAGUAAAGAUUUAUCGGCGAUGGAUGAGGAUGCGUCCGAUUAGCUAGUUGGCGGGGUAACGGCCCACCAAGGCGACGAUCGGUAGGGGUUCUGAGAGGAAGGUCCCCCACAUUGGAACUGAGACACGGUCCAAACUCC
rnacentral:rRNA from 1 species